UAAGCGAGGAGGAGGCUACUUGAUUAAUACUCUAGGAUAGUGGACGUUACUCGCAGAAUAAGCACCGGCUAACUCUGUGCCAGCAGCCGCGGUAAUACAGAGGGUGCGAGCGUUAAUCGGAUUUACUGGGCGUAAAGCGUGCGUAGGCGGCUUUUUAAGUCGGAUGUGAAAUCCCUGAGCUUAACUUAGGAAUUGCAUUCGAUACUGGGAAGCUAGAGUAUGGGAGAGGAUGGUAGAAUUCCAGGUGUAGCGGUGAAAUGCGUAGAGAUCUGGAGGAAUACCGAUGGCGAAGGCAGCCAUCUGGCCUAAUACUGACGCUGAGGUACGAAAGCAUGGGGAGCAAACAGGAUUAGAUACCCUGGUAGUCCAUGCCGUAAACGAUGUCUACUAGCCGUUGGGGCCUUUGAGGCUUUAGUGGCGCAGCUAACGCGAUA
rnacentral:rRNA from 1 species